rnacentral:rRNA from 1 species
GACGAACGCUGGCGGCGUGCCUAAUACAUGCAAGUUGAGCGCUGAAGGUUGGUACUUGUACCAACUGGAUGAGCAGCGCACGGGUGAGUAACGCGUGGGGAAUCUGCCUUUGAGCGGGGGACAACAUUUGGAAACGAAUGCUAAUACCGCAUAAAAUCUUUAAACACAAGUUUUAAGUUUGAAAGAUGCAAUUGCAUCACUCAAAGAUGAUCUCGCGUUGUAUUAGCUAGUUGGUGAGGUAAAGGCUCACUAAGGCGAUGAUACAUAGCCGACCUGAGAGGGUGGUCGGCCACAUUGGGACUGAGACACGGCCCAAACGCCUACGGGAGGCAGCAGUAGGGAAUCUUCGGCAAUGGACGAAAGUCUGACCGAGCAACGCCGCGGGAGUGAAGAAGGUUGUCGGGUCGUAAAACUCGGUUGGUAGGGAAGAACGUUGGUGAGAGUGGAAAGCUCAUCAAGUGACGGUAACUACCCAGAAAGGGACGGCUAACUACGUG